rnacentral:misc_RNA from 1 species
AACUCUCAACCCCCCUGUUUUGUAACGAGAUAGGCGUAUGGGCUUGGAUAUGGCUGUUUGUCGGUCCUAAUCAACCGGCUCAGCUGAAAUACACGAGUUGCCCAACUGAAAGCGACGGCUUGACUCGGCGUAAUAACUUUUUUCGCUGAGGACGUCAUGUUUCAAUAGUGGUGCUUCUAAUGCAAUCAUCUUGAUCU